UGGAUAUAAGUGUUCCUCUGAUCUGAGAUCAUCAUGGUGAUUUACAAGCAACUCACUGUGCUUUAGUACUAGACAACCUAAAUUUCUAAUUCAAGAUUAAAAGGUUUUUGGGUACAGUCAAGUACUUGUGAAGUCGAUGUGUGAGUCAAGAUGAAAUUGACCACUCCAAGGGAUUGGAGAGAAUACUUUGUGUUUUAAUUAGUAAGACCUUGACCAGGA
rnacentral:lncRNA from 1 species